GACGAACGCUGGCGGCGUGCCUAAUACAUGCAAGUUGAGCGCUGAAGGUUGGUACUUGUACCGACUGGAUGAGCAGCGAACGGGUGAGUAACGCGUGGGGAAUCUGCCUUUGAGCGGGGGACAACAUUUGGAAACGAAUGCUAAUACCGCAUAAAAACUUUAAACACAAGUUUUAAGUUUGAAAGAUGCAAUUGCAUCACUCAAAGAUGAUCCCGCGUUGUAUUAGCUAGUUGGUGAGGUAAAGGCUCACCAAGGCGAUGAUACAUAGCCGACCUGAGAGGGUGAUCGGCCACAUUGGGAACGAGACACGGGCCAAACCCCCACGGGGAGGAGCAGUAGGGGAACUUCGGCAAUGGACGAAAGUCUGGCCGGGCAACGCCGCGGGGGUGAAGAAGGUUUUCGGAUCGGAAAACUCUGUUGGUAGAGAAGAACGUUGGUGAGAGUGGAAAGCUCAUCAAGUGACGGUAACUACCCAGAAAGGGACGGCUAACUACGUG
rnacentral:rRNA from 1 species